rnacentral:rRNA from 1 species
AUAUUGUUCAAUGGGCGCAAGCCUGAUCCAGCCAUGCCGCGUGAGGGAUGAAGGCCCUAGGGUUGUAAAUCCCUUUCAACGGUGAAGAUAAUGACGGUAACCGUAGUAGAAGCCUCGGCUUACUUCGUGCCAGCAGCCGCGGUAAUACGAAGGGGGCAAGCGUUGUUCGGAAUUACUGGGCGUAAAGCGCAAGUAGGCGGAUUGGUCAGUUAGGGGUGAAAUCCCAGGGCUCAACCCUGGAACUGCCUUUAAUACUGCCGGUCUAGAGUUCGAGAGAGGUGAGUGGAAUUCCGAGUGUAGAGGUGAAAUUCGUAGAUAUUCGGAGGAACACCAGUGGCGAAGGCGGCUCACUGGCUCGAUACUGACGCUGAGGUGCGAAAGCGUGGGGAGCAAACAG